AAAAUAUUUUUAUUUUUAUUUUUAUAUUGAUCUAAAUUAUUCAUUUUAUUUAUAAAUCAUGAGAUACUAUUGAUUGCCUCUCAAAAAAUAUUCCUCACAUACAUGUCAGGCCUCCCAUGAUUACUAAAAUUUCUCAUAAAUCACAUACAUAAUAAAUUACUCAACAUCAACAUAUAAAAUGAGCCGAGCUCUUUCAUUCUGCAAUAAUUUUUUUUAACAGAAAUUUCGUCAGAUGCAAUUGAUGUUAGAAGGUCAAGCAAAUAGCAUGCAUCUGUAUUUGAGGAUGGUCAGUUAUUACCUUACAUUUCAAACGAUCCAAAAACCAUUGGGGCUCACAAAUUUUCAAAGGAACUGUCAACGAAACAUAACCACUCCCCAUUCCACCAUGUAAUUAAGUUUUACAAGAAUAUCUCAAGUGAAUGAGGUUCAACCUAUACAACUUGUCAACACAAGAAGUAAACUAGAAAAUAUAUGACCUACUGUAUACUCGAGCUUUCACCUUUGACCUUGAUUCGAGACUGAAAUUCUUCACAGCAGCUGCAAAUUACGCUUCAAUAACCAGGUCAGAUUCCUUCAAACACAUGAAAAGCAAUCUAUAGGUUAGUAAUAUAUGUAAAUUACUAAAUUGAAAAUCUGGAAAAAGAGUGCAAGGACCACAGAAUUGUGAUUUCAGAAACAGGGGAAGGACGGGGGGAUUUAUGGAAAUAUUUGCAAGUGCAAUGAUCAGAAGACAGGAGAAACCACAACCAUGAAUUAUAUUUAUGCAAGCACAAUGAAUGAACAUGUCUGGGUGAGGAUUUUCUUAGCAUCAGCCCACUAGGCUGGUGAACUAUCGAGUACAACUUUCAUUCCAACACUCAAAACAAAACCCUUCAUGGAAAAAAAAUAAGCUGAUUCCAAAACUAGGCAAUCCUUCCGUAGUCUUUUCUCCCUCGGGAUGCCGGUGGAAUGCUUGUGAAAGGAUAAUUAGCCCUACGCCCCCAUGGCAUGCCAUUAUUGAGUGAACCAUUUCCUGGAGAAAGUGGCCCCCCAGAAUUAAAAUUGGGUUCUGGGGGCUGGACCUUGAUAUGAUUCCAUUCACUACCCCGAACAGCAGAUCUCCCAUGACUGAAGCGUGGAAGAGAUUGCUGUCCCAAACGACUUGGUGAAUUUUGCGAGAUAUGAGGCAUGAAGUGAGAAGGCUUUGACAUUGGACGGCCAUAUCCAGCAUGCAUAUCAUGAGCUGAAGGAGGGCUGCCCACUUCAGUGUGUGUAAAUGCUUGAAUAGGUCCAUUUUGUCUUUGAAUCAGUGAAUUGGAGCUCUGGUUUGAAGUCCGGUUGGAUCUUCCAAAACCAACUGAUGGAUCACCUGAACCAAGAUGCAUUCCUUUGCUGAACUCGAUGCUUAUGGAGCUGACCUCUGAACUAUCUUCUUGUAGAAGCUGUUCCUCACUGGGACACAAAUAAUAGAUGCCACACAAACAAGUUAAAGAAGCACAAUGCUAUUAAAUUACUUGGUUAUUCCAGGCAAGACAGCUAUUAGUAUCAUAAAAUUAACACUCAGCUACUUCUGGAACUUCAAUGGUUAAUAAUAAUUAGGAAAACACAGAUUGAAGAUGCUCUUAGCAGAUGCACCAUCUAAACUUUUAAAUGAACAAAUUGAGCUAAAAUUUUAUUAAGACGGGAAAAUAAAUGCACCAUGCUUCUCCUGAAUAAGUAAGGCAUAUUGAAAAGUUGAUGAUGAAGAUUGCAAAUCUAUAAACAGAAAAACAGGCAUACAAAUUAGACUUAAAUCUAACAGUAUUAUGUAAGACCAAAUCAUUCAAGUACCAAAUUGGUCCUCCACCAACUUGUUGCAUUAAAUGACACAAUUUUGUUUAGAUUAAUUGAGGACAACCUAACCUUUUGCCAUUGACCAACCUAUGCCAUACUAAUAAACUCCAAGAAAUGCAAUCGUCAAUAUCUUCAAUUAACUCUAGUUUGUAUUGACAAAUAAAUAAAUAAAUUGCAUUUGAUAAAUGGGCCAGCACCUGCUUCUAAGCUAAACUCAAAUAGUACCUCCAGAAUAAGAACCAUUCAGUGCUAAACCCUAAAAACUGAGCUAAAUGCAUGCUGAAUAUAUAAUUGCCGUUCAUGAGUAUCUGCAGGCAUCUAAAAGAUGAAGAUGUUUGAUGUGGUUGAAGUUUAUAUUGCAACAUGAACUGCAUUUCCAUACCUGUAAUUGGGAUCCCAAUCCCCUGGAUCUGGCAAUGAUAGGCUAGCCUCAGGCUUAUCAUGAGCUGGUCCCACACUUUGAGAGAAAUGCAUAUUAGAAGGUUUGAAAGAGCCAGGCAUAUUCUGGUUGGCAGAAUGACCAGCAGUACUUCCACUACCUCCAUGCUGCUGCAUCCAACUUGCAGUGCUAGAAUUUGAUUGGCAAUGUGAGGGUGAACUUCCAAAUACUGAAGGAUUUCCCUCAGCUAGGGUAGAACUGGUACCAUCAGCAUAUUGUCCUUGCCAAUGCAAAGAUGGCACACUCUCUUGAGAAUGAGAACUUCCAGAAUACCCCCAACAUUUUCUUCUAUUGAAUUGGGUAACUGCAGCCACUUUUCCUAAAGGUGAUCCAUGACAAUUGCUUCUUGCUGGUGAAGUUGGACCGUAAUGUCCUGGAGAACCGGUAGAGACCUGAUUGUAUGAACUUGGUGGAGUGAAUUGUGACGGACUGGUUCCAAGGGGGAGUGGUGCAAAAUUUCCUGUCGAUGGACUCAUACCAAUUCCAUUUGAAUGUGAAUACUGAAUAAACCUUCGUCUUGCAUCUGGACUACUUCCAAGCAUUGAUAGACCAGCUUUUGCAUGCAUGUUCAUCCCAGAAGGACCAACUGGUGAAUAAUAUGCAAACAUAUUACUGCCAUCCCCAUAACUACUUCCAAGGCCAAUGCCAUCAUUGUAACUACCAUGGCUUCCUAUACUGCCAUAACUAUUACCAUGCCCAUAGGGAACCACUUGAAAAUGUGGGCUGUUAUGAAGAGAUACUCUGGUCCUACCAGGAAUAUUAGGAGAGAGACCAGCAGCAAACCAAUGCCCGCCGCCUGGGUGAUGGUCCACCUUAAAAUUUUG
rnacentral:misc_RNA from 1 species